rnacentral:rRNA from 1 species
AGAGUAACACGUAUGGCAACCUACCUUUAACAGGGGAACGUAACCCGUUGAAAAACGGACUAAUACUCCAUAACACAGGGGUCCCGCAUGGGAAUAUUUGUUAAAGAUUAAUCGGUUGAAGAUGGGCAUGCGUUCCAUAGCUGUUGGUGAGGUAACAGCUCACCAAGGCCACGAUGGAUAGGGGAACUGAGAGGUUUAUCCCCCACACUGGAACUGAGACACGGUCCAGACUCCUACGGGAGGCAGCAGUGAGGAAUAUUGGUCAAUGGAGGCAACUCUGAACCAGCCAAGUCGCGUGAAAAGGAUGAAGGUCUUAUGGAUUGUAAACUUCUUUUGCAAGGGAAUAAAGUGGGGGACGUGUCCUCCUUUCGCAUGUACCUUGCGAAUAAGGAUCGACUAACUCCGUGCCAGCCGCUGC